GAUGAACGCUGGCGGCGUGCCUAAUACAUGCAAGUCGAGCGAACAGACGAGGAGCUUGCUCCUCUGACGUUAGCGGCGGACGGGUGAGUAACACGUGGAUAACCUACCUAUAAGACUGGGAUAACUUCGGGAAACCGGAGCUAAUACCGGAUAAUAUAUUGAACCGCAUGGUUCAAUAGUGAAAGACGGUUUUGCUGUCACUUAUAGAUGGAUCCGCGCCGCAUUAGCUAGUUGGUAAGGUAACGGCUUACCAAGGCAACGAUGCGUAGCCGACCUGAGAGGGUGAUCGGCCACACUGGAGCUGAGACACGGUCAAGACGACUACGGGAGGCAGCAGUAGGGAAUCUUCCGCAAUGGGCGAAAGCAUGACGGAGCAACGCCGCGUGAGUGAUGAAGGUCUUCGGAUCGUAAAACUCUGUUAUUAGGGAAGAACAAAUGUGUAAGUAACUAUGCACGUCUUGACGGUACCUAAUCAGAAAGCCACGGCUAACUACGUG
rnacentral:rRNA from 1 species